rnacentral:rRNA from 1 species
UGAUCCUACGGGGGGCAGCAGUGGGGGAUAUUGCACAAUGGGGGGAACCCUGAUGCAGCGACGCCGCGUGGGUGAAGAAGCGCCUCGGCGCGUAAAGCCCUGUCAGCAGGGAAGAAAAUGACGGUACCUGAAGAAGAAGCCCCGGCUACCUACGUGCCAGCAGCCGCGGUAAUACGUAGGGGGCAAGCGUUAUCCGGAUUUACUGGGUGUAAAUGGGGCGCAGACGGCGAUGGAAGCCAGGAGUGAAAUCCCGGGGCCCA